rnacentral:rRNA from 1 species
GCUUCCUACGGGAGGCAGCAGUGGGGAAUAUUGGACAAUGGGCGCAAGCCUGAUCCAGCCAUGCCGCGUGUGUGAAGAAGGCCUUCGGGUUGUAAAGCACUUUUGUUCGGGAAGAAAAGCUACCGGUUAAUACCCGGGAGUCAUGACGGUACCGAAAGAAUAAGCACCGGCUAACUUCGUGCCAGCAGCCGCGGUAAUACGAAGGGUGCAAGCGUUACUCGGAAUUACUGGGCGUAAAGCGUGCGUAGGUGGUGCGUUAAGCCUGUCGUGAAAGCCCCGGGCUCAACCUGGGAAUGGCGAUGGAUACUGGCGCGCUAGAGUGCGGUAGAGGAGAGUGGAAUUCCCGGUGUAGCAGUGAAAUGCGUAGAGAUCGGGAGGAACAUCAGUUGCGAAGGCGGCUCUCUGGACCAACACUGACACUGAGGCACGAAAGCGUGGGGAGCAAACAGGAUUAGAUACCCUGGUAGUCCACGCCCUAAACGAUGCGAACUGGACGUUGGGAGCAACUAGGCUCUCAGUGUCGAAGCUAACGCGUUAAGUUCGCCGCCUGGGGAGUACGGUCGCAAGACUGAAACUCAAAGGAAUUGACGGAAGCCGAAUUAAACGGG